rnacentral:lncRNA from 1 species
GUGGUGGUGUUUACAGUCUAACACCCUGACCCAUCGUGGGAGCCCAGGGUCAAAGCCAGCAGCUGCGGGAUCGUCACACCCUUACCCUUUAAUCCCAGCGAUGCUGAGCCGGCUUCCAUCCCCUCGCUGAGCUAGCCAGCUGUCUGACUGCUUGAAAAUGGCGGAAGAGGAAGAGGGCGGCGUGGAGGAGGGGGACGUGUUCCUAGCAUUUGCCCAGGGUCCCAUUCCUCCUCGGGGGCCCGUGCGGCAGGCUUUGGACAAGAUCUUCCUCGCCUUCUUGGUCCUCUUCCUGACUCUGCUGAUGCUGGAGGCUGCUUACAAACUGCUGUGGCCCCUGCCAUGGGCCAAGUUUCAGGACUGGCUCCUGAGGACCCCUGAGGAGGAGGCAGCUCUGGUGCUCUGAGCAUCUUCAUAGACCACCUGUCCUUGCUACUGAGAAUGAGAACUAACUGGAGACUGGGAAGGCAGUGAGAUCAGAGGUGGGUCUUACCUUUUUUCUUUUUCUUUUUUUUUUUUUUUUUGUUUUUUGAGACACUGCCCCCCCCAUUCAUGCUUCUUGUCACCCCGCCCUUCUGCGCAGCACCCUUGUUUCUCUUAUCUCGGGUUAGGGGGUGACACCAAAGUGUGGGAAAAAGAACCCACAAAGUAGCAAAGACCAGGUACACCCUUCCAUGGGGAGACACCUUGCUUUCAGUUUAACAGGGUCAAAGCCAGCAGCUGCGGGAUCGUCACACCCUUACCCUUUAAUCCCAGCGAUGCUGAGCCGGCUUCCAUCCCCUCGCUGAGCUAGCCAGCUGUCUGACUGCUUGAAAAUGGCGGAAGAGGAAGAGGGCGGCGUGGAGGAGGGGGACGUGUUCCUAGCAUUUGCCCAGGGUCCCAUUCCUCCUCGGGGGCCCGUGCGGCGGGCUUUGGACAAGAUCUUCCUCGCCUUCUUGGUCCUCUUCCUGACUCUGCUGAUGCUGGAGGCUGCUUACAAACUGCUGUGGCCCCUGCCAUGGGCCAAGUUUCAGGACUGGCUCCUGAGGACCCCUGAGGAGGAGGCAGCUCUGGAACUCUGAGCGUCUUCAUAGACCACCUGUCCUUGCUACUGAGCCCAGCUCACUCAAAGAUUUAUUAUAUGUACGUACACUGUCGCUGUCUUCAGACACCCCAGAAGAGGGCAUCAGAUCUCAUUAAGGAUGGUUGUGAGCCACCAUGUGGUUGCUGGGAUUUGAACUCAGGACCUCUGGAACAGCAGUCAGUGCUCUUAACCGCUGAGCCAUUUCUCCAACCCUUAAGAGUGUAUUUUAUUUCCUUUUGAUUUCCUGCAAGUAUCAUGGUUUCAGUUUUCUUUCUGGCUGUAAGACUCCAUUGUAUGUCCGAACCACAUUUUAUCUGUUUUACGGGCCAGUUGGCUGCUUCUGUUCUUUUGCCUAUUGCAAUCGCUACAGCAAUAAACAUGGAUGUGUACGUGGUGUUCUGACUUAAAUUUCUUCAAGUAUCUAUCCAGGAGCAAUACAUCUAGGACAUGUUAGGUCUUAGGCCGUGCAUAGGUCCAGAGAUGGGUCCUGGCCCACCUCAAGCUGGACUCUAGAAGAGUCCCUGGCAGUUAGACAAAGGCCAGAAUUCCCCCAGGACCUUGUGAAACAGGCUCCUGUCUGCAGAAAGGAUGUUUCCCUUGCCUCUGGAAAAAGGACACAAGGCUCAGCAGUGUGCC